CCUACGGGAGGCAGCAGUGAGGAAUAUUGGUCAAUGGGCGCGAGCCUGAACCAGCCAAGUAGCGUGAAGGAUGACUGCCCUACGGGUUGUAAACUUCUUUUAUAAGGGAAUAAAGUGAGGCACGUGUGCCUUUUUGUAUGUACUUUAUGAAUAAGGAUCGGCUAACUCCGGGCCAGCAGCCGCGGUAAUACGGAGGAUGCGAGCGUUAUCCGGAUUUAUUGGGUUUAAAGUGAGCGUAGAUGGGUUGUUAAGUCAGUUGUGAAAGUUUGUGGCUCAACCGUAAAAUUGCAAUUGAUACUGGCAGUCUUGAGUACUGUUGAGGGAGGCAGAAUUCGUGGUGUAGCGGUGAAAUGCUUAGAGAUCAGGAGGAACACCGAUGGCGAAGGCAGCUUACUAAACAGCCACUGACAUUGAGGCGCGAAAGUGUGGGGAGCAAACAGGAUUAGAUACCCCAGUAGUC
rnacentral:rRNA from 1 species